rnacentral:rRNA from 1 species
AUUGAACGCUGGCGGCAUGCCUUACACAUGCAAGUCGAACGGCAGCACGGGGGCAACCCUGGUGGCGAGUGGCGAACGGGUGAGUAAUAUAUCGGAACGUACCCUAGAGUGGGGGAUAACGUAGCGAAAGUUACGCUAAUACCGCAUACGAUCUACGGAUGAAAGUGGGGGCUCGCAAGACCUCAUGCUCAUGGAGCGGCCGAUAUCAGAUUAGCUAGUUGGCGGGGUAAAGGCCCACCAAGGCGACGAUCUGUAGCUGGUCUGAGAGGACGACCAGCCACACUGGAACUGAGACACGGUCCAGACUCCUACGGGAGGCAGCAGUGGGGAAUUUUGGACAAUGGGCGCAAGCCUGAUCCAGCAAUGCCGCGUGCAGGAUGAAGGCCUUCGGGUUGUAAACUGCUUUUGUGCGGAACGAAACGGCCUGCCCUAAUACGGUGGGCUAAUGACGGUACCGUAAGAAUAAGCACCGGCUAACUACGUGCCAGCAGCCGCGGUAAUACGUAGGGUGCGAGCGUUAAUCGGAAUUACUGGGCGUAAAGCGUGCGCAGGCGGUUAUAUAAGACAGAUGUGAAAUCCCCGGGCUCAACCUGGGACCUGCAUUUGUGACUGUAUAGCUAGAGUACGGUAGAGGGGGAUGGAAUUCCGCGUGUAGCAGUGAAAUGCGUAGAUAUGCGGAGGAACACCGAUGGCGAAGGCAAUCCCCUGGACCUGUACUGACGCUCAUGCACGAAAGCGUGGGGAGCAAACAGGAUUAGAUACCCUGGUAGUCCACGCCCUAAACGAUGUCAACUGGUUGUUGGGUCUUCACUGACUCAGUAACGAAGCUAACGCGUGAAGUUGACCGCCUGGGGAGUACGGCCGCAAGGUUG